AACGAACGCUGGCGGCAUGCCUAACACAUGCAAGUCGAACGAAGGCUUCGGCCUUAGUGGCGCACGGGUGCGUAACGCGUGGGAAUCUGCCCUUGGGUACGGAAUAACUCUCCGAAAGGAGUGCUAAUACCGUAUGAUGUCGCAAGACCAAAGAUUUAUCGCCCAGGGAUGAGCCCGCGUAGGAUUAGGUAGUUGGUGGGGUAAAGGCUCACCAAGCCGACGAUCCUUAGCUGGUCUGAGAGGAUGAUCAGCCACACUGGGACUGAGACACGGCCCAGACUCCUACGGGAGGCAGCAGUGGGGAAUAUUGGACAAUGGGCGAAAGCCUGAUCCAGCAAUGCCGCGUGAGUGAUGAAGGCCUUAGGGUUGUAAAGCUCUUUUACCCGGGAAGAUAAUGACUGUACCGGGAGAAUAAGCCCCGGCUAACUCCGUGCCAGCAGCCGCGGUAA
rnacentral:rRNA from 1 species